GUUGACCUCGGAUCAGGUAGGAAUACCCGCUGAACUUAAGCAUAUCAAUAAGCGGAGGAAA
rnacentral:rRNA from 5 species